AUGGAGGAGCAAAUCAAAAAGUUGCUGGCUGCACAUCUUAUUAGACACAGUCAAAGUCCCUUUGCAGCUCCUGUCAUACUAGUCAAAAAGAGAGAUGGAUCAAUGAGACUGUGCACAGACUACAGAAAACUGAACUCUCUUACAAUUAAAAACAAAUUUCCCAUACCUGUCAUAGAAGACCUUUUGGAUGAGUUGCAUGGAGCAAAAUAUUUCACAAAACUGGAUUUAAGGCCAGGCUACCAUCAAAUAAGAAUGUCACCAGCAGAUGUCCAUAAAACUGCAUUCAGAACAUUCUUGGGUCAUUUUGAAUUCCUGGUUAUGCCUUUUGGCCUGUCCAAUGCUCCUGGCACUUUCCAGGAAUUAAUGAACACCAUAUUUGGUCCUUAUUUGAGGAAAUUUGUGUUGGUUUUCUUUGAUGAUAUAUUGAUCUUCAGUAAAAACCUCACAGAGCACUUGGAACAUAUCAAGCUGGUACUGGAUGUUUUGAGAGAACAUCAGCUGUUUGCCAAAAUGUCCAAGUGUGUGUUUGCAGCUCAGAAAGUGGAAUAUUUAGGGCAUGUGAUCUCUGCAGAUGGAGUAGCUACUGACCCACAAAAGAUCUCUGCAAUAGCUGAAUGGCCAGUCCCUGAGAACAUCACUAAACUGAGAAGCUUUUUGGGCCUAGCAGGCUAUUAUAGAAGAUUUAUAAAGGGCUAUGGUGUAAUUUGCAGACCUUUGCAUGAUCUGCUUAAAAAGGGAAAUUUCAAGUGGCAACCUGAACAUACCAAUGCCUUUCAACAAUUCAAACAAGAACUAACUACUGCUCCAGUUUUGGCCCUGUCGGAUUUUUCCAAACCAUUCAUUUUGGAAACUGAUGCAUCAGGAAAGGGAAUUGGGGUUGUCCUAAUGCAGCAAGGCAGACCAAUUUCUUUCUACAGCUCAUCCCUAUGCCCAAGGAAUGCAGCCAUGUCCACAUAUGAAAAGGAGGCCUUGGCUAUUUUAGAAGCACUCAAAAGAUGGAGACAUUAUCUGUUAGGGAAAGAGUUGAUCAUUAAAACAGAUCAACAAUCUCUCAAAUUCAUUACUGAUCAAAGGAUCACUGAAGGAGUCCAACACAAACUAAUGAUGAAGUUGUUGGAAUUUAAUUUCACUAUCCAGUACAAAAAGGGAAUUCAAAACAAGGUGGCUGAUGCUCUAUCAAGAAUUCUCCCUAAAUGCAUGCUAUCUCUGCAGCUACACCUACUUGGGCAGAAGAUUUGGUGGCAAGCUAUCAGCAAGACCCUACCGGCUUGCAGUUGCUGGAAAAACUCCUCAUUCAAGGGAGUGAUAAAUUGCCAGAUUAGUCUCUAG
rnacentral:rRNA from 1 species